CGGAUGACCUGUGGAUCGGAGUGAAAGGCUAAUCAAGCUCGGAGAUAGCUGGUUCUCCUCGAAAGCUAUUUAGGUAGCGCCUCAUGUAUCACUGUAGGGGGUAGAGCACUGUUUCGGCUAGGGGGUCAUCCCGACUUACCAAACCGAUGCAAACUCCGAAUACCUACAAGUGCCGAGCAUGGGAGACACACGGCGGGUGCUAACGUCCGUCGUGAAAAGGGAAACAACCCAGACCGUCAGCUAAGGUCCCAAAGUCAUGGUUAAGUGGGAAACGAUGUGGGAAGGCUUAGACAGCUAGGAGGUUGGCUUAGAAGCAGCCACCCUUUAAAGAAAGCGUAAUAGCUCACUAGUCGAGUCGGCCUGCGCGGAAGAUGUAACGGGGCUAAAACUAUAUGCCGAAGCUGCGGAUUUGCAAUUUAUUGCAAGUGGUAGGGGAGCGUUCUGUAAGCCGAUGAAGGUGUAUUGAGAAGUAUGCUGGAGGUAUCAGAAGUGCGAAUGCUGACAUGAGUAACGACAAUGCGAGUGAAAAACUCGCACGCCGAAAGACCAAGGUUUCCUGCGCAACGUUAAUCGACGCAGGGUUAGUCGGUCCCUAAGGCGAGGCUGAAAAGCGUAGUCGAUGGAAAACAGGUUAAUAUUCCUGUACUUCCAGUUAUUGCGAUGGAGGGACGGAGAAGGCUAGGCCAGCUUGGCGUUGGUUGUCCAAGUUUAAGGUGGUAGGCUGAAAUCUUAGGCAAAUCCGGGAUUUCAAGGCCGAGAGCUGAUGACGAGUUGCCAUUAGGCGACGAAGUGGUUGAUGCCAUGCUUCCAAGAAAAGCUCCUAAGCUUCAGAUAACUGGGAACCGUACCCCAAACCGACACAGGUGGUUAGGUAGAGAAUACCAAGGCGCUUGAGAGAACUCGGGUGAAGGAACUAGGCAAAAUGGCACCGUAACUUCGGGAGAAGGUGCGCCGGUGAGGGUGAAGGACUUGCUCCGUAAGCUCAUGCCGGUCGAAGAUACCAGGCCGCUGCGACUGUUUAUUAAAAACACAGCACUCUGCAAACACGAAAGUGGACGUAUAGGGUGUGACGCCUGCCCGGUGCCGGAAGGUUAAUUGAUGGGGUUAGCGCAAGCGAAGCUCUUGAUCGAAGCCCCGGUAAACGGCGGCCGUAACAAUAACGGUCCUAAGGUAGCGAAAUUCCUUGUCGGGUAAGUUCCGACCUGCACGAAUGGCGUAACGAUGGCGGCGCUGUCUCCACCCGAGACUCAGUGAAAUUGAAAUCGCUGUGAAGAUGCAGUGUAUCCGCGGCUAGACGGAAAGACCCCGUGAACCUUUACUAUAGCUUUGCACUGGACUUUGAAUUUGCUUGUGUAGGAUAGGUGGGAGGCUUUGAAGUGGGGACGCCAGUUCUCAUGGAGCCAUCCUUGAAAUACCACCCUGGCAACUUUGAGGUUCUAACUCAGGUCCGUUAUCCGGAUCGAGGACAGUGUAUGGUGGGUAGUUUGACUGGGGCGGUCUCCUCCUAAAGAGUAACGGAGGAGUACGAAGGUGCGCUCAGCGUGGUCGGAAAUCACGCGUAGAGUAUAAAGGCAAAAGCGCGCUUAACUGCGAGACCCACAAGUCGAGCAGGUACGAAAG
rnacentral:rRNA from 1 species